AGCAAACUUUUCGCUUAUUCUCUAAUUACCGGAUCCGGUCCGGAUUGUUACGGAAAGAACGUAAUGUUUGUGGGUGGGGUUGUUUGCUUUUUGCUGCCGUUAAAAAGCUCGACGAGGCUAGUCUUCUCAAGGGCCGCUUUACGCAUUAACCCGGUAUGCCAAUAUAAAUAGAGAGUGAGGGGAUUUGAAAAAGGAUUCUCGAUGAGAUGGAUGUGUAAGGCAAUUUUGGAUUAGAAGUCGCCUCUUGAAUUAGUCGCCAAAGCGUCGGCAGAUUUCUCCACGACGAUGUCACUUGUACUCUAGGAAUGCUAACCACAGACAGUGACAAAACACCUGCGAAUCGACAGUGUGAGGUGUCGUCUGACUACAAGCCGGUUACCCGCAUCGACGCUCAUCAGAAACGCCGUACGAAGGACACAAAUGAUUCGCGCGCUGCAGGUGUAAAAGCCUGGAGGAUAUGUGUAUAAAAACAAUAAAGCCCUCUAGCCAAAGGACGAAAAUUUGGCUUUUGUUUGCGUCCAACCAACAACAGGAAAUACAAACCGUGCCCGCACUAAGCCGAGAGCCGACGGAGUUGUAGUAACGUGACGUGCCGAAAAUGGCAAAGUACUCCUCGAAGUAACUUGAGUAAACUUGAGUAAAGUACAGCAAAAUUGUCAAGUAAAAAUUGCCAAAUUGCUCCGAGACAAGAAAAGUGGAAACAACAAAAAACAAAAAACAACAGCCAAACAGCGAUAGUAUAGUGCAAACAAACAAC